rnacentral:snoRNA from 1 species
UUGCAAUGAUGUUUGAAUUUCUUCACCUGAAGCUAUCCGUGAAGAGCACAACAAAACGAGCUUUUUAACCCUGAGCAAU